UACGUAGGCAGCGAGCGUUGUUCGGAAUUACUGGGCGUAAAGAGUGUGUAGGCGGUGUUCCCAGUCUGUUGUGAAAUCUCCCGGCUUAACUGGGAGGGUGCAGCGGAAACUAGAAUGCUAGAGGGUGGGAGAGGUAAGCGGAAUUCCUGGUGUAGCGGUGAAAUGCGUAGAUAUCAGGAGGAACACCUGUGGUGUAGACAGCUUACUGGACCACUUCUGACGCUGAGACACGAAAGCGUGGGUAGCAAGCAGG
rnacentral:rRNA from 1 species